GACGAACGCUGCCGGCGUGCUAAUACAUGCAAGUAGGACGGCACAGUUUAUACGUAGCUUGCUCCACCAUAGCCUGUAAGUUGCGACCGGUGAGUAACGCGUAGGUAACCUGCCUAUUAGAGGGGGAUAACUUAUUGGAAACGAUAGCUAAUACCGCAUAACAGUAUGUAACACAUGUUAGAUGCUUGAAAGAUGCAAUUGCAUCGCUAGUAGAUGGACCAGCGUUGUAUUAGCUAGUAGGUAGGGUAAUGGCCUACCUAGGCGACGAUACAUAGCCGACCUGAGAGGGUGAUCGGCCACACUGGGACUGAGACACGGCCCAGACUCCUACGGGAGGCGCAGUAGGGAAUCUUCGGCAAUGGGGGGAACCCUGACCGAGCAACGCCGCGUGAGUGAAGAAGGUUUUCGGAUCGUAAAGCUCUGUUGUUAAGGAAGAACGAGUGUGAGAAUGGAAAGUUCAUACUGUGACG
rnacentral:rRNA from 1 species